GCUGGGUGCAGUGGAGCAUGCCUGUAAUCCUAGUGGCUUGGAGGCCGAAUCAGAAGAAUCACGAGUUCAAAGCCAGCCUCAGCAAUGGCGAGGUGCUUAGCAACUCAGUGAGACCCUGUCUCUA
rnacentral:sRNA from 1 species